UAUCAUAUAGAUAAUGAUAUUAUCUACGUACGUCGAAGUAAAUCAGGAAAAUAUUGAUAUUGUUAAGAGCCUAUAGUUCCCGUCGAAAAGUUUAUAAGAUGUGACACCAGAAAGCAAUACAGAAAUUCUGAUUACAGAAAUAUAUUUAAGAGAACCUUUGUAGAAUAAGAACGUUACGAUCGGCGACAUAAAAGAACAAUGGAUAAGCUGAAGCAAGAAAUCAGCGAAGUAACAAAAGAUGGUUCCGGCUGUUGUUCAUAGUGACAACUGAUUUUUUCUAAAUUGAUCAACGAAGCAUUAAAUGGAUCAUAUCUAAGUACGCUGAGUUCAUUCGGAGCGACAAUGAAUAGCUCCCGAGAAAAAGAAAAUAAUGCUAUAAUGAAAUUAUCUUAACUGACAAACUAAUUUAAAAUACUAAAAAUAAAAAAACCUGAUAAACUAAAAGGACUACUAUUUAGAUUUCCAAAAUCGAACCAAAGCUAUGCGCAUAUAGGUAACAGCGGUAAAUAGAGAAAAUGAAAUAGAGAUAAUAAAAAUGAAAAAAGAAAUUAUUUUAAAAAACCAGAUGGCCUGCGAUAUAGAGAAGAAAUAAAGAGGUUUGCUCAUACUUUAUAUUAUCAUGCUCCAAGAGCAUGUGGUCAUUAUAGGUUAGCAUGCAUCCUGAUGAUGCAUUCAAUGUUCCGCUAUAAGGGUGCAUUCGAGGAGACGCUAUAAACGCUACAGACGCAAACGCUACAAACUUCGUUUGGAGAACCAAUAGCACGAUAGCGUUAAAUCAUCAUCAUCAUUAUUCGAUAGCGAGGAAGAAUUGGACAUACUUAAUAAUUUGGUAACAGCUCGUCGGAGGAAAGUUCCAAAGCUGAAAAAUUAUGUAGAAGAAGUUAUUCCUAGAGGAAGAGAUAAACAAUUUAAAUCACAUUUCAGAAUAUCCAGAGAAACGUUUGAGUUCGUACUCUCAAUAAUUGAUCAUAAAUUGCAAAGAAAUCCAGGUUUACAAAUGAUUUUUCCACAAAAACAGUUUCUUAUCGCUAUUUGGAAAAUGGCUACUCCUGAUUCUUACCGAUCCAAUAUGCGAAAAAUUUAACGUCAGUCCAUCAACAGCGUUACUAACAACACGAAGAGUUACUAAAAUUCUUGCAAAUUUGGUAGCAACAUUUAUUAAGUGGCCAACAGGAAAUGAUGUUACAGAAAUUUGGACAGGAUUUGAAGCAAAUAGUUCUUCUCCAUAAGUCACAGACGAUACUCACAUCAAGAUUCCAUCUCCAUGUGUUAAUCCAGAAGCCUAUAUCAAUCGGAAAGAUAAUUUGUGAUCAUAAGGCUCGUUUCAUCCGCUAUGUUGGACAUGCUGGUUCUAUACACGACCAGCGUGUCUUUCGACACUCUCAGAAAUCCAAGAUAAAUUGGGUGAUCCGACAAAAUUUCCUGAUGAUUGUCAUUUAGAUAGUGAUUCUGCAUUUAAACUUCAUGACAAUUUAAUGGUUCCUUAUCGCGAUAAUGGCCACUUGUCUGAACGACAAAAAAAUUAUAAUUUCUGUUAUUCUUCAGCGCGAAUUAGUAUUGAAAGAGCCAUUGGUCUUCUAAAAAAAUCGAUUUCAAAGUUUAUUACAAUGUCUUCCUAAGACUGACUUAAUUGCACGUUUUAUUCUUAUCUGUUGUGUCAUGCAUAAUAUUUGUAUAAUGAAAGGUGAUGAUUUAAACGUUCCUCAAUUAGAUGAUAGAAAAUGAUAUUUUCAGAAUAUUUGGACAAAUUAUGCCUUUAUUUCCAGAGUAGUAGUUUUGUGUUAUGCUUUCCGCCUACUAUUUCAGUUAAUUCUCUAUAAGAAAAUUAUAUAA